UCCUCUCCCCCGCGAUGGCGUCGGCCGAUGUCCCUCUCACUCUCUCCCCCUCCUCUUCCCACCGCGCCGCCCACCACGUGCGUCUCCCAACUACGCCGCCGCCGCCGCCCUCCUGCGCUGCUGCGAAGGAGGCAACCACCGCCGCCCACCUCCGCAGCUCAACCAUCGCCGACCCAUCUCGCCCACCGCCUCCCACAGCUGGACCACCUCCUCCCCGAGUAGACCAGGAACUCCGCCUCGGCGAGAGCUACGCCAUCCUCGAGCCGCGCUUGCCGGGGAGCCGUGGAUCGACGAAAUCGCUCCCAUCUCCUCCCACUCGCGCCUCUCCUGUCUUCCCCGAUCCGUUCAAAAGAAUUAGGGUGCCCCGCCAGUGUAGUGGUCCGCCGCUCGCCGCCGCCGGAGGUCCACCACUCGCCACCUUCCCCCUCUCGAUUGCUUGCUAUGCAGCCUGGGCGUCGUGGUCCGCCACUCGCCGCCGCUGGACGGCUGGAGGUCGUCGGCACCCAAGUGCCGCCCACGCUCUGGCGCUUGCACGCCGCCGGCCCUGCCCCAUCCUACCCUCCGCCACCACCUUCCCCACCCCGAGCUCGGAUUUACGAAGCCCACUGCCUUCCAGUUCGAGCUCCGCCUCGACCUCAUCCCUGCUGCCGCCGUCUUCCCUGAACAAGCCCUCAUCUGAUACACUCUCGUCCGCGACGUGCUUCUCCAACCAUCGGUACGCGACGGUGGUUCGGUCCGGGAGGCGGCUCCUGCAAUCCUGGCCCUGGCGUCGCCGCAGCGGUGGUUCCAUUCCGGCGGCAUCAGGGGAGCACAGAGCGUCCACGACCAGCAAGCAGAGCCGGCCAAUGAUGCAGCAGCGCCGGCCAUGAGGAGACGCCAGCCGUGGCGGACGCGGAGACAACAACCAUGGGCGUGGAAGACGGUUUUGGAUCCUGUGAGCCGCCGCCGCCGCCGCACAGAAAGUCAACGCCGGCCUUCUGCUGCUCCAUGUCCAACAAGUCGCCCACGAGGCGUCAGUGUGGCAUUGCUAGCUCCAGCUUCCCCCUGCAAUCGUCUCUGCCGCCGGCACUUGCACGCAAUCAUGCUGGUUUCUGUAGUUCAAGAUCAAAGGCAAGAAUCAGCCAAAUAUGAUGAUGAGAACAAGGCUAAUGAUGGAGAACCUUCAUCUAUCGAAGCUGGGCAGUCUAUUGGGAAUACUAAGUUUCAAUGCGCAUCCUAAGUUUCAGUUACCUGAAAUCAAGGCCAGUUUCAGUCGAUGCCGAAGUAAACUACCACAUAUGUGAUGACUUUGAGAAAAUCCAUGCACUUCAAUUGGACAGGAGUUUUCUGCCACGUAAUCGAUGAUGCACUUCACGUGACAGAAUUGUAAGAUCAGUACUUCUAUCUACUCUAUUCAUCAUAUCUACACUUCUGUUUAUUCAUUCUAUGAGCUCUCUAUUUAAGAGAAACAACAGAGACUACUAUUUAAGAAUAGUAGCCUUUUCAAUUAAAUGCUGAAGUAUGUGUUUUCUGCAUGCACCCACAAGUUAUUCAAGAAAAACUAAUUAAUGCCUUAAACUUAAAAGUAUCUCAUGGCCACAACAAACAGUUCACUCAAAAUUAAAACAGGAACUACUUUUACUGGUAAGUGGUAACUGUGCAUCUCCAUAUUGUGCUGCAAACAAAAGCAUAACAGGGUUUAGGAACCACAGUUUUAAUUUUGAAAACCUUUACGAGUUUAGCAACAAACCGGCAUGGUAGCAAAGUUUUUAGAAAUACGGGGUAAUAAAAAUGUAGUACUUCAAUGUGUGGGCAAGCAAUAGUACGUUUUUUUAUAACAACUAUUAGGAUGUGAUUCGAGUCUGACAUGACAUUUUCAAUGGUAGUCACAUUAGUAACGGCUGAAAUGUAUGCAACUUCUAUAUGGUAUCGUAGUGCCAUUUGAAGAGAGAAGUAAUGCUGCUUAAGAUAAAUAAAUAUUGACUGAAAAAAUGUACCAUGUCAAAACUGCCCAACUGAAAUAUCAUGAUCUGCACCUAAAGUGUGUUCCCGGUGACGAAGACAACUAUAUGUUGUUUCCUUAAGGAAAACAUGCACACACAUUAUUGAUAGACAAAAAUGCCACAAUAAUUAAAUCUGUCUAGUGUAUACUAACCGAACUGAAACAUAUAGAAUUAAAACAGGGGGCGAUCGUCUCAUGUUAUUAUCUAACAUGUCAUAUUAGCUAUACCUACAUCUCGAGACGUUCAAAACAUAGGUGCACUGGAUGCAAAAACUGUAUAGAUGCAUACUGUAAAUCCUCAGGGUCUGAGCAAAACAUGAUAAAAUUGAAGAUGAAGUGCACUGGCCCGUAGCAACGCCACUGAAGCUGGGCAUUCUUAAUCUGAUAGUGGUCGCGCACGUUUAAAUAAAGAUUACAGUCAAAUAAAAAACAAAGAUAAAUAUUUGUACAAAAGCGCCCCAGAGCAACAAAUUCUCUGUAGAAUAAGAGUAAAUGCUCUUGUCAUAUUCAAAACCCGCUGGUUUCUUAAGUGCGGACUUCAACCUGUAAGGACUUCCUUAUAGACGAUAUUCUUCAUCGAGGUUUGUAAGGACAAGGCAGGUCUUUUUCGCUUCUUUGAUUUACCGCUUUGCUUCUUGCCAUUAUCCUUCUCCUUCUCCUUCUUAAUGAGGAUCUUUAUGUUCCUCUUCGCGGUGGAUCAAGACACGCGACAUAGAGUUGACCAUGAGAGAACACUGGAUUAGGUAGGUAUACGCCAACAAUCGGAAUCGUCUGUCCUUGAGCCUUGUUAAUCGUCAUAGCAAAGCUAAGCCUUACAGGAAAUUGCUUCCUCUUGAACUUGAAUGGAAACAUGUCGUUGUCAGACGGGCAUAGGGAUAUUCGAGGAAGGAAUACCCUCCUACCUGCGUGUUGUCCGAUCACGAUUUCUGCGUCGAUGGCGUUCCUCUCGAAACCUCGCACCACAAGCCUCGUCCCGUUACAUAGACCAUUAGCCGGAUCAAUGUUCCUCAGAAGUAUGACAGGGCAGUUGAGCUUCAGUUUGAGUGCAUUGAUACGUCUGCAACGUACAUAUAGUUUUUGAUUGUUUCAUGCUAUUAUAUUAUCUGUUUUGGAUGUUUUAUAUGCAUUAAUAUGCUAUUUUAUAUGAUUUUUGGGACUAACCUAUUAACCUAU